rnacentral:misc_RNA from 1 species
GUCUCACUCUUAUGCCCUCUCCCUACUCCUCUGCUUCAUGCUCGUCACAUCUCUGGCAACCGCCGGACGUCAACUUCCGGUAGCAUCGACAAAGCCGACGGACAAAAAAGUAGACAAGGAGUGCCUUGAACAGGAAGGCAGCGUCCUCAUCCCCGGAAUCGGACGCUACAUGAUUGGCAGCCAUGAGGGUAUCCCUUCCUUCACUGAUCUCGACCACAGCGGUCCGGCUGCCGCAAGUGGCCAGUACCUCCCUGGCAAUGACGACGGAUUCGUCCCCAACCCGGGCUUCGAAGUCCCCAAUCCCGUCCGUGGAUUCGUUAAUCCUUGAAUCAUCCUUGGUGUUUUUAUUUUAUUUCCACUUUUUA